UACGUAGGGCGCAAGCGUUGUCCGGAUUCACUGGGUGUAAAGGGUGCGUAGGCGGGAAGGUAAGUCCGCGGUGAAAUCUCACAGCUCAACUGUGAAACUGCCGUUGAUACUGCUUUUCUUUGAGUUCGGGAGAGGUUGAUGGAAUUCCAGGUGUAGCGGUGAAAUGCGUAGAUAUCUGGAAGAACACCAGUGGCGAAGGCGGUCAACUGGCCCGUAACUGACGCUGAGGCACGAAAGCCAGGGGAGCAAAGCGGG
rnacentral:rRNA from 1 species